rnacentral:rRNA from 1 species
GAUGAACGCUCGCGGCAGGCCUAACACAUGCAAGUCGAGGGAGAAGCCCUUUCGGGGGCCGAAACCGGCGCACGGGUGCGUAACGCGUAUGCAACCUACCUUUCACAGGGGGAUAGCCCGAAGAAAUUUGGAUUAAUACCCCAUAAUAUUAUUGGAUGGCAUCAUUUGAUAAUUAAAACUGCGGUGGUGAAAGAUGGGCAUGCGUCCUAUUAGCUAGUUGGAGUGGUAACGGCACCCCAAGGCUACGAUAGGUAGGGGUCCUGAGAGGGAGAUCCCCCACACUGGUACUGAGACAGGGACCAGACUCCUACGGGAGGCAGCAGUGAGGAAUAUUGGUCAAUGGUCGGAAGACUGAACCAGCCAUGCCGCGUGCAGGAAGAAUGCCUUAUGGGUUGUAAACUGCUUUUAUAUGGGAAGAAUAAGGUGUACGUGUACAUUGAUGACGGUACCAUAUGAAUAAGCAUCGGCUAACUCCGUG